UGCCCCAGUAACGGCGAGUGAAGCGGCAACAGCUCAAAUUUGAAAUCUGGCUCUCGGGCCCGAGUUGUAAUUUGUAGAGGAUGCUUUUGGUGAGGUGCCUUCCGAGUUCCCUGGAACGGGACGCCAUAGAGGGUGAGAGCCCCGUCUGGUUGGACACCGAUCCUCUGUAAAGCUCCUUCGACGAGUCGAGUAGUUUGGGAAUGCUGCUCUAAAUGGGAGGUAUAUGUCUUCUAAAGCUAAAUACCGGCCAGAGACCGAUAGCGCACAAGUAGAGUGAUCGAAAGAUGAAAAGAACUUUGAAAAGAGAGUUAAACAGUACGUGAAAUUGUUGAAAGGGAAGCGCUUGUGACCAGACUUGGGCUUGGUUGAUCAUCCGGGGUUCUCCCCGGUGCACUCUUCCGGCCCAGGCCAGCAUCAGUUCGCCCUGGGGGACAAAGGCUUCGGGAAUGUGGCUCUCUCCGGGGAGUGUUAUAGCCCGUUGCGUAAUACCCUGUGGCGGACUGAGGUUCGCGCAUUCGCAAGGAUGCUGGCGUAAUGGUCAUCAGUGACCCGUCUUGAAACACGGACCAAGGAGUCGUCUUCGUAUGCGAGUGUUCGGGUGUCAAACCCCUACGCGAAAUGAAAGUGAACGCAGGUGAGAGCUUCGGCGCAUCAUCGACCGAUCCUGAUGUUAUCGGAUGGAUUUGAGUAAGAGCAUACGGGGCCGGACCCGAAAGAAGGUGAACUAUGCCUGUGUAGGGUGAAGCCAGAGGAAACUCUGGUGGAGGCUCGCAGCGGUUCUGACGUGCAAAUCGAUCGUCAAACAUGGGCAUGGGGGCGAAAGACUAAUCGAACCUUCUAGUAGCUGGUUUCCGCCGAAGUUUCCCUCAGGAUAGCAGUGUUGAACUCAGUUUUAUGAGGUAAAGCGAAUGAUUAGGGACUCGGGGGCGCUAUUUAGCCUUCAUCCAUUCUCAAACUUUAAAUAUGUAAGAAGCCCUUGUUGCUUAAU
rnacentral:rRNA from 1 species